rnacentral:rRNA from 1 species
UACAGAGGGUGCGAGCGUUAAUCGGAGUUACUGGGCGUAAAGGGCGCGUAGGCGGUUCUAUAAGUGAGAUGUGAAAGGCCUGGGCUUAACCUAGGAACGGCAUCUUAGACUAUAGGACUAGAGUGCAGUAGAGGGUGGCGGAAUUCCACAAGUAGCGGUGAAAUGCGUAGAUAUGUGGAAGAACACCAGUGGCGAAGGCGGCUACCUGGACUGAUACUGACACUGAGGCGCGAGAGCGUGGGGAGCAAACAGG